rnacentral:rRNA from 1 species
GAGUUUGAUCAUGGCUCAGAUUGAACGCUGGCGGCAGGCCUAACACAUGCAAGUCGAGCGGAUGAAGGGAGCUUGCUCCUGGAUUCAGCGGCGGACGGGUGAGUAAUGCCUAGGAAUCUGCCUGGUAGUGGGGGAUAACGUCCGGAAACGGGCGCUAAUACCGCAUACGUCCUGAGGGAGAAAGUGGGGGAUCUUCGGACCUCACGCUAUCAGAUGAGCCUAGGUCGGAUUAGCUAGUUGGUGGGUAAAGGCCUACCAAGGCGACGAUCCGUAACUGGUCUGAGAGGAUGAUCAGUCACACUGGAACUGAGACACGGUCCAGACUCCUACGGGAGGCAGCAGUGGGGAAUAUUGGACAAUGGGCGAAAGCCUGAUCCAGCCAUGCCGCGUGUGUGAAGAAGGUCUUCGGAUUGUAAAGCACUUUAAGUCGGUGGGAAGGGAGGACGUAAGUUAAGUUAACUUACGUGUCGUUUGUUUACGUUACCGUUAACCAACGAAGU